GAGUACGCAAGAGUGAGUGAGCAAGCAAACAGCAUUCAAAGCCGUCAUUUAUUAUUCAUUUUAUAUAUACACAUAUUUGCGUGCACACAUACGUACGCUCACUUCAGUUUGUUCAUUGUUUCUAUUUCAUUCUUUCCAAUACAUGCCCACAUAAAAUCCGUACAUAGAGGAAGGCAACACACGACAACAGAAAAAAGUAUUGUACGAAGAAAUUUUUUCUCGAUGCUCUCGGAGUGUGUAUGUCGAAAAGAAAAUGGCGAACUUUGUGUGUUGUGCAUAGCUAAAGUUUUUUUUAAUUUUCUAGAAAAUAUCAAUUUGAGAUUUUUUUAAAUGCUCUCUGAACACAAGUUUAUUAAAAACACAUUGAACAAUAAGAACAACGCUGAAAUUGUAGUUUUCUGUGUCACACAUGCUAAACAAAAUAUUUUUUGGCGAGAAAAAGUCCGAUGGACUUUUGUGGAAAAUUAAAUUGUGUACACGAUUCUUCCGCAUUUCAUAAAUAUGUAUUAAUUAUGUUUUUCGAAGUCACAUUACGUUCUAAAUAAAAGUGAAUAUAUUCGACUAGAGAAAGUUCAAUUUAUUUAUCCAAUAGUAUUGGGAUUAGGUUCACCACAAUGGCCAAACAAAUAAAUAUUUUAAAUGACUAGUAAGCAGAUAUAUAUAUAAUUUAUUCAAUUCAUUUGACCAUAGUUGUGUACAAAUUAAUUAUAACAAAAAUUGUUGUGACAUCUGAAAUUAUCAUAUCCGUGAUAAAAACAAGAGGUGUGUAUUAGUCACUUAAUAACUAAAUGUGACUGAAUGAGAGAGAUCAAAAAAAUUUAGUUUGUGAAAAUAAAACCAAUUUUCGGAAUGUCCCGACGAUAUGCACAUUCGUAAUAUUUUUGAAUGAAUUGAAUUCGCUGUUUCUUUAUCGUAAAUUCAUGGGUUUUGUGUUUUCUUUAAACUUUCAAAAAAGCCAUGCAUCAACAACUAAAAAAAACCAGUUUAAAACCAUCUAUAGUUUUGGGUUUAAUCAUAUUAAUAUGUGUAAAAUGGCUUCCAAAUCAUUGUUUGCUGCGAUUGAUUCACUAUUCGUAUGAGUUACUUAUCAAAAAAAUCUUUCUCUAAUAAUAAUUAUACAUGAUUUUUCACACUCUAAUAAGUGCACAAUUGCAACGAUUACGAAAUCACUUCUUCCCAGGAAAUACACAGUGUUCUUAUAAAAUACAUGAACGUGAAGAUCAAAGUGUCAUCGGGCAUUGAAUUUUCAAUCGAUAUUACCAAAUGUUCGAAAUCAUUUUUUUGAAAUAACAUCAAAGAAUCAACACUUAUUCACGAUGAAACCAGGAUAAGGAAGAAGAGGUUUUGUGGAAAUACAAACAGGAACGCCUGAAAACAUUGCGACAAAAUCUUUUGAAUCAAGAAAAUGAAGUGAAAAUAAGAAGUAAAUUUGUGUGCGGUUUUGAAAGUACUAUAUUGAAACUAUCCGAUACUACUUUAGGUUUAUGUUUGAAUCCCGUAAAAACAAGGAUUUUUCGAAGUUAUUCGACGUUAAUUGAUGUGAAAAAUGAUUUAUUCCCGAUAUUGUUUCCCAGUGAAAUUUACUCAUACAUGUGUAGAAGAUCGAAUAUAAUCAUGAAACUAAACUUGAUUUGAUUAUGUGAAAGAACAAAAAGUGACUGAAUAAAUCCAAAAACGGAAACAAAUUAUACAUUUUCGAUAUUAAAUACUAUUAUAUUUCUUUGCUAAAUUUGUGACUUAUCCGCAUGACAUCUAUGCAAACAUGUAGUACGAAAAUUCGUAUAGAUUGCCAAUUAGUCUUCGUGAAUAUAAAAAAAGUUAUUUCAAAGACAACUGAACCAAAUAGAAGGAAAAAUUCGUUCCUCUAAAAAAAGUGAAGAUCGAUAGAAAAAAUCGCUCUUCCGAAUGUGGCAUUAUUCUAAAUUCUGGAAAAAUUAUGUAUUCCACCGGCAGCAACGAUGAUCUAAAAAGGAUCAGAAUGGAAGAAGCGGAACGAAUGGAAAGACGUGAGAGGGACAAACGUGAAAGGGCAAAAAUGUCCUUAACCCAAAAUCCGGAACCUGAACCUGAAAUGCCAUACUUCCCAGCACCUUUUCGUCGAACAAGCCCAACUGAGAAAGAUCGACAGAUUCAAUCAAGCUUAGGCGAUUUCCAAUACUUGAAACAAUUAAUUGAAAGUGACUUAAUUCAUGGUUCACGUUUGGUUGGUGUGAGCUCAUCGCAAAUCCGUUCGCAGUCUUCUUUUUCACCACAAGCACCAUCCUCGUCGUCUCAGCCCAAAUCUCAGACGCAACCACAAAUACCAACACCACAAAUUCGAAACCCUGUAAAACAGGUAAAGUCUUUUUUAAUACAACAAAAGAUUUGAUUUAUUUGCAGUUUUUAUAUUUUAUUUUAUUUAACACCGCCAAGCUCUGGCUGAAUAUAAUAGAGCUAAUAUGAAAAUAAUUCGAAAUUGAUUCGAAAACUGGAAUAUUAACUCGCCAAUUCAAUGGAUUUCUAUGACAAAGAUCAAUAUCAAAAUUUACAAUAAAUAGGUGUAAACAUCACAGAUUCUAUCUAUUAUUCUGCGUAGCGUUUUUUGUACACUUUUAAAAACAUAUUUCCACUCAUCCGAUUUUACUCGCCCUAAUACCAUUGGAAAGGUCUCCGAAUGUAGAUGUGUCAUCAACAAAAAAACAUUCACAUAUGUCAAGUUUGAUAGGAGUUAUCGCCGUUUGAGUGAUGACCUGUUUUUACAUUGUCGAAUCCGGACCCGUACUAUGCACAGCACACAUGAAAUGUGUGGUACCGACCAGAAGGGCGAUUUUCAAGCCAAAACGUGCGCCGCUUGCCGAGCGGAGGUCCUAUGCUGUCACCCCUGCACGCGCGCUCCUUCACUUUCACAACACAAAUCAUCUCCACCUCUGUGGGCACAACCAUUUCCGAAUUUUUUCAUUUAUUUCAGAAAUGGAUGGUUUUUUCGCUUUUGGCUUGAAAAUCGCCCUUUGCGUCGGUCCCCAGUUCCCAAAUGGUCAAAUUUCGACCGCUGGCGAGACUAGUAGGUAUCAUUAUUUCAAUACAUAUAGGAGAAUGUAGGAGAACAAUUUGUCAGAGAUGUAGUGAUAUUUUGUGCCAUGUGCGCCGCUUGAAAAUGAGUUGAAUCGCGUUAGGAUGGAUGUCAGAAAUUUCGGUCAUGACUCUUUCAUGUUUAACGACAUCAUCGAUCAAAUGCCCCCAGACAUCAUGAUAUUACUGUUUGCUGAUGACAUCAAAAUUGCCAAAAUCACCAAUCCACAACAAAUCACCAAAUCUCUCAGAGUACAGAUUUACAGGCAAUAACAUUUUAUUAACUAUUACUUUUCCGCAAACUUCGUUUGUAUGGAAAAGUAUUGGUUUCACUAGCCAAAAUUUCAUGACAUCUCCUCCUUCGGACCACUAUAACGUCACGCCAAACUUCAAAAAGCACAUAUCUGUACACUAGGCAAUGUAGAUGGGAUCAAAUCCUAUCGAUCAAGACCUAUCUACCCCCAAAAACAUGUUGUUUACUAUGAAAUAUGUGCAAAAUAGCGAUGUGCGUAUGGCGUCGUCCGCGUCCGAGCUUUUUGUUCGCCGGAUAUCUCAAGAAGUUGACAAGAUAAUUGAGAUCUGUAAAAGCCAAAAGUUUUGGCAUGUCGAGACAAAGCUUCGAAUUGAUUUUGAGCCCAUUCUGAUUUACCAAUUUCGUACCAUAAGCCUCCGACUGAGGACCUGAAAAACCUUGAAAAAUGACACUUUU